AGCGAACGCUGGCGGCAGGCCUAACACAUGCAAGUCGAACGAACUCUUCGGAGUUAGUGGCGGACGGGUGAGUAACACGUGGGAACGUGCCUUUUGGUUCGGAAUAACUCAGGGACACUUGUGCUAAUACCGAAUGUGCCCUUCGGGGGAAAGAUUUAUCGCCAUUAGAGCGGCCCGCGUCUGAUUAGCUAGUUGGUGAGGUAACGGCUCACCAAGGCGACGAUCAGUAGCUGGUCUGAGAGGAUGACCAGCCACACUGGGACUGAGACACGGCCCAGACUCCUACGGGAGGCAGCAGUGGGGAAUCUUGCGCAAUGGGCGAAAGCCUGACGCAGCCAUGCCGCGUGAAUGAUGAAGGUCUUAGGAUUGUAAAAGUCUUUCACCGGGGACGAUAAUGACGGUACCCGGAGAAGAAGCCCCGGCUAACUUCGUG
rnacentral:rRNA from 1 species